rnacentral:rRNA from 1 species
UACGGGGGGGGUAAGCGUUGUUCGGAAUUACUGGGCGUAAAGGGCGCGUAGGUGGCCAACUAAGUCAGACGUGAAAUCCCUCGGCUUAACCGGGGAACUGCGUCUGAUACUGGAUGGCUUGAGUUUGGGGAGAGGGACGCGGAAUUCCAGGUGUAGCGGUGAAAUGCGUAGAGAUCAGGAAGAACACCGGUGGCGAAGGCGCUCUGCUAGGCCGCAAACUGACACUGAGGGGACGAAAAGCUAGGGGGGAGCGAAAUGGGGAU